rnacentral:lncRNA from 1 species
AGGAAGGUUUUCGAAUUGCCUUUGCAUUAGUUCAAAUAAAAACAAGUCCCAAGUAAUAUUAGAGUACACGCCAACAUUAAACAUUUCAAAUCCAUAAUAUUACAUAGAUAAACUCAAUGCUAACGUGAUAGUUGAUAAAGGAGGAAAAUGCUUGCAACAUCAGAGGAAGCAUUAGGUAGAAGCCUCUCCUUCUAGGCAUAUUCUCUUAGGGCCUUUCUCUUCUUCCUGGCCAUUGUCCUGUGACCAGCUCUCUUUUGCUUCUAUCGAGCACCUUUUGUAAGGUUUAAACCCUGUUCUACGAGCUUUUAGCUUUGCGUAUCCAAGUCCCAUACUCAGGGGUCCCUCUUCUUUGUUUUUACCCAUCAAAGUAGCAUUAUCUUCCAUUCUUAGCUUCCCGGAAGAGGUAUUCCACGUCUUACUGUUAAGGUCUAACUGCAAUCUAUCUUCAUCUUUCUCUUGUGAAUUUUCUAUGUCCUUAUUGUUAUUUUUCAAAUCCCUUUUGUCUAAACCAUGGGGUGGGGAAAAACUUUGUGGCAAUAUUUCUCUAGAGAAGAGUGCCUGAAAAGCCAGUCGUC